CCAGGAGCGCACGGGCACAGGUGACUCCGACAGGUGGAAGGAGCCUGAGCAGAGGAAGCCUUAUCAAGCAGUUGGGACGAGGGGAGCGAAUUUUACUCCCUACGACCGUGUAAUUCUAGAGCUGAGCUUCCUACACUUAGGCGACCAGAGAAACCUCUCUAUCAUCAUAUCAUUCACAAAACGGCCUUUUCUUCCACAUUCUUCUAGGUGUGGACUUUACGUUCAGAAAACACUUCGGAACUGUAGGCCAAGACACAGAAGUAGGCUCGGUUUUCCCUGUGAAAUAACGGUGGAGAGAACAGCGGGCCGGGUUCCGGGAGGUGAGCGCGGGGCCCGGGCAGCGACACUCAGCAGCGCGUCUCCGCGAAGAACUGCUGCGGGGAGCCGAGGGCCGGCCCCGAGAAGGCACGCGGCCAGCUCAAGCCGGCCUCCUAACGCGCCCAAGUCCCUUCCCUCGGGGCAAGCCGGACGCACGACCCCAUUCCCCCAGCGCUGCCCCCAAGGCCGCAUGUGUCCUCCGAAUGGGACCCUCAGAAGCCCGGCUGGAGACCCCCGCCCGCCGAGCCCCUAGCCGCAGGGCCGACCGCGCCCGGUCGGGCACCCCGGAUCCCUCCGCACCCGACCGACGCGGCCCAGCCAGCGACAGCAGGGGGGCCAACGCGCCCUCCCACCGGGCCCACAGACCCCACAAUCUUUACCUGGCCUCAGCAGAGCGCAGGUACCACCUGGGGCCCUCGAUGGCCUCGGAUGACGACGCUGCCCGGCAGCGGUCCGCGACCGCACAAACACGCCUCAUCCACCAGCCAUGGCUUCUGCCGCGCACGCCCGCGCCUACGUCACCACGCAGUCCGCCGAAGGCCGCGCGCGGAAUCACGUGACCCCUGGGCCCGGCGCGAUGACGUCACCUGGGGCGCGUUCGCGGCGCCUGCUAGUUGUAUUUUGUGAGAACGGCGAGCAGAAGUCUGGUGCCGCGGGAAGCCGGGCGGCUGGUGUCUAACCGCGGGCCCGGAAACUGGAUAUAUAAAUUUAUUGAAAAUUCACCUGAAUCAACUCUUAAAGAAAUUCUUUUCUUCAUGAAUUAAGUCACCGUUGGAUUUAUCACAUGCACAGCAUG
rnacentral:lncRNA from 1 species